UAUACAUCUUCAAGUGAGGCCUAUAGCUCAGAUAACCAGGGAACAAGAAUUACUCAAGAGCUAUCUGAAACGACAUAUGAUGAGAUACAUGAAAUAGUUACUGAGGUAUCAAAUACAGACGAUGGUAGUACAAGUGAAACUUUAUCAACUGAUAUAGAAGUAGAUAUAGUGAUUGGAGAACAGAAAGGCGAACGAUGGUUUAACAACUGGAUCUAUAUUACUGUUGCUAUUUUACUAUUGAGCACAUUUGCAAUGCUACUACUACUAUUAAUUUUGAAAAGGAAAGACCUUAACAGUUUUUUCAGUAACGGCAGCUAUGAAAUCAAUGAAGACCGUGCUAAUAAUUGUGAUAAAGAAUGUACUAAGACAAUCCCUGAAUUGAAAUAUUCGGUUUUAAAAAAGAAAAGACAGCAAAAAGACCUGGAUCUCGUCUGUUAAAACAUCAAUAUAUAAUAUUUAUUUAU